rnacentral:rRNA from 1 species
GGUAACGCGUGAGAAUCUGCCCUCAGGACGGGGACAACAGCUGGAAACGGCUGCUAAUACCCGAUGUGCCGAGAGGUGAAAUCUAAUUGGCCUGAGGAUGAGCUCGCGUCUGAUUAGCUAGUUGGUAGGGUAAGAGCCUACCAAGGCGACGAUCAGUAGCUGGUCUGAGAGGAUGAUCAGCCACACUGGGACUGAGACACGGCCCAGACUCCUACGGGAGGCAGCAGUGGGGAAUUUUCCGCAAUGGGCGCAAGCCUGACGGAGCAAGACCGCGUGCGGGAUGAAGGUCUGUGGACUGUAAACCGCUUUUGAUAGGGAAGAACACAAUGACGGUACCUAUCGAAUCAGCCUCGGCUAACUCCGUGCCAGCAGCCGCGGUAAUACGGAGGAGGCAAGCGUUAUCCGGAAUUAUUGGGCGUAAAGCGUCCGUAGGUGGUGAUGCAAGUCUAUUGUCAAAGCAUGAGGCUUAACCUCAUACCGGCAGUGGAAACUGCAUUGCUAGAGUGCGAUAGGGGCAAGGGGAAUUCCCAGUGUAGCGGUGAAAUGCGUAGAUAUUGGGAAGAACAUCGGUGGCGAAAGCGCCUUGCUGGGUCUGCACUGACACUGAGGGACGAAAGCUAGGGGAGCGAAAGGGAUUAUAUACCCCUGUUCUCACGCGUUAUC